ACGGGUGAGUAAUGCUUCGGAAUCUUCCCAGUUGUGGGGAAUAACUAGCCGAAAGGUUAGCUAAUACCGCAUACGUCCUACGGGAGAAAGCAGGGGAUCGCAAGACCUUGCGCUAUUGGAUGAGCCGAAGUCGGAUUAGCUAGUUGGUAGGGUAACGGCCUACCAAGGCGACAAUCCGUAGCUGGUCUGAGAGGACGACCAGCCACACUGGGACUGAGACACGGCCCAGACUCCUACGGGAGGCAGCAGUGGGGAAUAUUGGACAAUGGGGGAAACCCUGAUCCAGCGACGCCGCGUGUGUGAAGAAGGCCUGCGGGUUGUAAAGCACUUUUAGUGGGGAUGAAAAGCCGAGGGCUAAUACCUUUCGGUCUUGACCUAACCUACAGAAAAAGCACCGGCUAACUCUGUGCCAGCAGCCGCGGUAAUACAGAGGGUGCAAGCGUUAAUCGGAAUUACUGGGCGUAAAGCGUGCGUAGACGGUUAUUUAAGUCAGGUGUGAAAGCCCAGGGCUCAACCUUGGAAUUGCAUUUGAGACUGAAUAGCUAGGGUGCGGAAGAGGGAAGCGGAAUUUCCGGUGUAGCGGUG
rnacentral:rRNA from 1 species